CGUAGGGCGCAAGCGUUGUCCGGAAUUAUUGGGCGUAAAGAGCUCGUAGGCGGUCUGUCACGUCGGGUGUGAAAGCCCGGGGCUUAACCCCGGGUCUGCAUUCGAUACGGGCAGACUAGAGUGUGGUAGGGGAGAUCGGAAUUCCUGGUGUAGCGGUGAAAUGCGCAGAUAUCAGGAGGAACACCGGUGGCGAAGGCGGAUCUCUGGGCCAUUACUGACGCUGAGGAGCGAAAGCGUGGGGAGCGAACAGGAUU
rnacentral:rRNA from 1 species